CAGUUAGGAUGUAUUGAAACGUAUACAAGUCCAGUACUGAUACAUACUAUACCUCGUACUACAACAGGGAUACGUCUUUAUCAACAACUUCCUAUCAGUUCACAUGUGUUGCUAUGCAGAAACAAUCAAAUGGAACUGUGUUCCUGAGUUUGAUGCCGACAGACUGUGUAUCAGGGCAAUCCGCUACUGUCAUGCCUACAAAAGGAACACUCCAAGGUGCCACUAUGGUGUUGGAGUCAACAUGGUGCGUAGACACAGACUCGGACUCAAAAUCAACGAACCUGAAAUGGUUGUAUAUCCUACUUCCAUGCCUCUGUCUUCUGAUCAC